rnacentral:rRNA from 1 species
ACUCCUACGGGAGGCAGCAGUAGGGAAUCUUCCGCAAUGGACGAAAGUCUGACGGAGCAACGCCGCGUGAGUGAUGAAGGCUUUCGGGUCGUAAAACUCUGUUGUUAGGGAAGAACAAGUGCUAGUUGAAUAAGCUGGCACCUUGACGGUACCUAACCAGAAAGCCACGGCUAACUACGUGCCAGCAGCCGCGGUAAUACGUAGGUGGCAAGCGUUAUCCGGAAUUAUUGGGCGUAAAGCGCGCGCAGGUGGUUUCUUAAGUCUGAUGUGAAAGCCCACGGCUCAACCGUGGAGGGUCAUUGGAAACUGGGAGACUUGAGUGCAGAAGAGGAAAGUGGAAUUCCAUGUGUAGCGGUGAAAUGCGUAGAGAUAUGGAGGAACACCAGUGGCGAAGGCGACUUUCUGGUCUGUAACUGACACUGAGGCGCGAAAGCGUGGGGAGCAAACAGGAUUAGAUACCCUGGUAGUCAA